ACCAAGAACCCGCUCCAAUCCCAUCUCCCACCAUGGAAAACUGACCACAGCAAAGCCGUUGAAGAACACGCAAUUCUCAUUCCUACUUCCCCGGGAACGGGCGCAGGAGAAAAAGGUUGCGUCUUUAAGUUCUUCAAAUUAAUAACCCUGGGAAGGGCAGAGAGCCGGCAGAUGAAAGGCAAAGUGCAGACUUUGAUCGGGCAAUCGGAGCCAUGGGGGCAGGCUCCCCAGCCCAUGUGGAGCACCCCUGAAGGUCAGCCUGGACUGAUCAGGUUGCAGCAAGAGAGCCAUGGAAAGCAGGCCAAACGGAGGUGGAAAAAUCUAUACACCCCAAUAUCUGCCAAGAGAUGAAAGAAAAGUUUGCCUCUGAUGCUGGGAUUUAUGAUUAAGGUAAACGAAGCCGUAAUGUAACACUUGCCAAGAUGCUUAGGUCUUCCUUCAGGAAAACACUUAAGCAUGUGCUUAAACCCAUUACUAUUCAGGGCAGCCCAUAAGCAUUUGCUGAAGGUUAAGCACAAUGUUCUUACAGGGAGCCCUUAAGUACUGUGCUGAUUAAGGUGGGUUUUUUUUUCUUCUAAAUCCGAGCCACUAUGAACCACAAAAUGAAUUGCCCUCAUUAUAUUUUAAUAUCAUCUCUGUUUUCUUUCAAAUUAAACCAGAAAAUGCAAACAAAAAGUAAGUCUUAUUUUACAUUAAGAGGAUAAAACCCAACAUUACAUUCUGUUGUGUUUUGUUUAAUUUUUUUUUUCUUUAAGAUAACAGGCUCCACAACACCAUGCAUCCCUGUGAAUGAGCACCUUUCAUGAGGAAGAAAGAGAGUACAUGGAAAAGUGAUUGCUUUGCUACUCCUAAACUCUUGAAUUCCUUGAUAUGCUGUUACAAGCCAGAAAGGAUCACACAGCAAUGCAUACAUAUAUAUAUAUACAUAUAUAUACUUUAUCCACUAAGCUCUUUCGAAGCAAACCAUAAAAAGGCUGUAAAUGGUGAAUACAUUUCAGUUAUUAAAGGUCGUGGAUAAGACAGCUAUUUAUCAGUUCAAGUAAGGUCACUGUAACAUCCACAGGCAGAGAGCUUUGCCUAUUGCACAAAUGACACUGCCUGCCCUUAAUGCCCCGAGAAACUUUUGACAAGCUAAGCAUAUGUAACAAGCCACAAACCUUACAUAUAGCCGCUACAGUUCAUUAAUGUUCAACAAGGAGGUAUCAUAGCUGAAAGGGGCUCAGUUUCUGUUUCACAGCACACUGCCUCUCCUCCGAGCUCUCUGCUGGUGAUUUUUGACAAAGAAAUUGUAUCGCCUGUUGAAGAGGGGGACCUCGCUAACUAGUGAAUCGGAUGUUGUGGCUCUUCCUGAAAACCUUUCUCCUUGCUGUCAUUUAGGAAUAUUCUGCCCCGCAUACUAAACUAUUGGUUCCUUAAGUUUCUUUAUACACAUAUAAAAAAGAACCUUGGAAAAUGUUUUUGCCAGUUUUAGACUUCCACUGGAGCUAAAAGCAGGGUCUUGGUUGAAUUCUAUAACAUACAGUUUUGAAAGAAAACACUGUUACAUAACUCUUCUUUUUCCCUUUCUGGGAGACAACCUUGGUAGGAGAGUUUGUGAGAAGCAGGCAAAUCUCCUCCUGCACUUCUGGAGACAGAUGGCAAAGUACCGGGGCAGAAGGUUACAUUAAGGUCAAGGUGUUUCCCAUUCUUAUUAGCAUAUCCAAAUGCUGUGGGGCAGGCAGGACAACCUUUACUGCAUUCAUCUCCAAGAAACUUUGCCUCUUCUCACUUGCAGUAAUUUGCCCUGCUAAAUCCUGAGCUAAAGGCAGUACCUUCUUGCUGGAAACCUUGUUGUUAUAAACAGAUAAUCAACCAUAUGACUCAGUGCAAUCUCUAAGAUACAGACCUCUAAGCAAGGCUGUCUGUCACACAGCGUGUUCUACAGUGACGAUCAGAGACGCAAGUAUUUAUGAUACAACUUUGCAGUUACUUCUUGGAAGAUGACAACAGAAUGGCUGUUCACUCUCUGCUAAUGUUGGUUCUCCAGGAUGGAUUUCUGUGUGGUGUUCCAAAUCAAGGUUCUUCUCUACAACAAGUGCCUUGCCUGCCCAGACCACACAGAGGUGUCUUCCUCAUGAAAGUGAAGAAGGAAGGAGUCUCUGGGCUCCCUCUGAGCCCUAAGUUAAAGGAAACAGAGAUGUCAAACAGCAA